CAGCAGACAUAUUCCAGCCAAUCAGCAGCAGACCCUCCCUCCAGACCCUCCCACCUCCUGGACAGCAUCCAUUUUACAUUCAUUGUGAAGCUGCAUUCUUAGUGAGCUGUCCAGGAGGUGGGAGGGUCUGGGAGGGAGGGUCCGCUGCUGAUUGGCUGGAAUGUGUCUGCU
rnacentral:miRNA from 1 species